rnacentral:rRNA from 1 species
AACGAACGCUGGCGGCAUGCCUAACACAUGCAAGUCGAACGAGACCUUCGGGUCUAGUGGCGCACGGGUGCGUAACGCGUGGGAACCUUCCCUUAUGUUCGGAAUAACUCCCCGAAAGGGGUGCUAAUACCGGAUAAUGUCUUCGGACCAAAGAUUUAUCGCCUUUGGAUGGGCCCGCGUUGGAUUAGCUAGUUGGUAGGGUAAAAGCCUACCAAGGCGACGAUCCAUAGCUGGUCUGAGAGGAUGAUCAGCCACACUGGGACUGAGACACGGCCCAGAAUACUACGGGAGGGAGCAGUGGGGAAUAUUGGAAAAUGGGCGAAAGCCUGAUCCAGCAAUGCCGCGUGAGUGAUGAAGGCCUUAGGGUUGUAAAGCUCUUUUACCCGGGAUGAUAAUGACAGUACCGGGAGAAUAAGCUCCGGCUAACUCCGUG